UCACUUCAGCAGUGCACAAACUAAAACUGGAACAACACAGAGACGAUCACAUGCCUCCUGUGCAAGGAUGACACACAAAUUCUCCAAGUGUGCUGUAUUCUU